AGGAGUUUUCACCCUCUCUUUGGACCUCAAUGUAGAGCUCCACCAACACUGUGCACCCCCAGAGCUACUCCUCACUGCAGAGUCCUUCAGAACUACUCUCCAGUCACCAGCAGAACAAGCCUUUUACCCAGGAAAGAAAUAAAACAGAAUAUGAUUCUGCAAGCUACAAAUUCCUACAAAUUCUGAGACCUUUAUUUAAAAGGUGUUGGCGCAUUACAUUAUUCCCAAGGAUUGUUCAUUUGUGCACUCACAUCAGCUGUUGAUGGCCUACCUGUGAGUUGGAACAUAGGGGCACUUUUUUUUUAAAGGUUAAGGUAGGUAUUCAUCACAAU
rnacentral:lncRNA from 1 species